rnacentral:rRNA from 1 species
UUGGAGGGCAAGUCUGGUGCCAGCAGCCACAGUAAUUCCAGCUCCAAUAGCGUAUAUUAAAGUUGUUGCAGUUAAAAAGCUCGUAGUUGAAUUUUAGGCCUGGCCGGGCGGUCCAUUUUUGGCGAGUACUGUCUUGUUGUCAGGUCUUCCUUCUGGUGAACCAGUAUGUCCUUUAUUGGGUGUGUUGGGGAGCCAGGACCAUUACCUUGAAAAAAUUAGAGUGUUUAAAGCGGGCUAUUGCUUGAAUAGAUUAGCAUGGAAUAAUAGAAUAGGACGUUGUGGUUCUAUUUUGUUGGUUUCUAGGACCACCGUAAUGAUUAAUAGGGAUAGUUGGGGGCAUUAGUAUUCAAUUGUCAGAGGUGAAAUUCUUGGAUUUAUUGAAGACUAACUAUUGCGAAAGCAUUUGCCAAGGAUGUUUUCAUUAAUCAAGAACGAAAGUUAGGGGAUCGAAGACGAUCAGAUACCGUCGUAGUCUUAACCAUAAACUAUGCCGACUAGGAAUCGGGCGUCGUUAUUUUAAUGACUCGCUCGGCGCCUUACGGGAAAC